rnacentral:rRNA from 1 species
AUGAACGCUAGCGACAGGCCUAACACAUGCAAGUCGAGGGGCAGCAUUUUUGAAGCUUGCUUCAAAAGAUGGCGACCGGCGCACGGGUGAGUAACGCGUAUGGAACCAACCCGCAACAGGGGGAUAACCCGGAGAAAUCCGGACUAAUACCGCAUGGUACUCUUUGCACAGAAGUGUGAAGAUUUAAAGAUGCGAAUCGGUUGCGGACGGUCAUGCGUUCCAUUAGCUAGUUGGCGGGGUAACGGCCCACCAAGGCGACGAUGGAUAGGGGUUCUGAGAGGAAGGUCCCCCACACUGGUACUGAGACACGGACCAGACUCCUACGGGAGGCAGCAGUGAGGAAUAUUGGUCAAUGGGCGAGAGCCUGAACCAGCCAAGUCGCGUGAGGGAAGACGGCCCUAUGGGUUGUAAACCUCUUUUAGAUGGGAGUAAAGUGUUCUACGCGUAGGAUAUUGCAAGUACCAUCAGAAUAAGCAUCGGCUAAUUCCGUGCCAGCAGCCGCGGUAAUACGGAAGAUGCGAGCGUUAUCCGGAUUUAUUGGGUUUAAAGGGUGCGUAGGCGGGUGAUUAAGUCAGCGGUGAAAUGCGUCAGCUUAACUGGCGAACUGCCAUUGAAACUGGUUACCUUGAGUGUAGCGGAAGUAUGCGGAAUGCGUGGUGUAGCGGUGAAAUGCAUAGAUAUCACGCAGAACUCCGAUUGCGAAGGCAGCAUACCAUACUAUAACUGACGCUGAAGCACGAAAGCGUGGGUAUCGAACAGGAUUAGAUACCCUGGUAGUCCACGCAGUAAACGAUGAAUACUCACCGUUUGCGAUAUAAUGUAAGCGGUAAAGCGAAAGCGUUAAGUAUUCCACCUAGGGAGUACGCCGGCAACGGUGAAACUCAAAGGAAUUGACGGGGGCCCGCACAAGCAGUGGAGUAUGUGGUUUAAUUCGAAGCAACGCGAAGAACCUUACCAAGUCUUGACAUCCCUCUGACCGACUCUUAACCGAGUCUUUCCUUCGGGACAGGGGAGACAGGUGGUGCAUGGUUGUCGUCAGCUCGUGCCGUGAGGUGUCGGCUUAAGUGCCAUAACGAGCGCAACCCUUAUUGAUAGUUACUAACAGGUAAAGCUGAGGACUCUAUCGAGACUGCCGGCGUAAGCCGUGAGGAAGGUGGGGAUGACGUCAAAUCAUCAUGCCCUUUAUGACCUGGGCUACACACGUACUACAAUGGCUGUAACAGAGGGAAGCAACAUAGAGAUGUGAAGCAAAUCCCAAAAAGCAGUCUCAGUUCGGAUUGAAGGCUGAAAUUCGCCUUCAUGAAGCCGGAAUUGCUAGUAAUGGCAGGUCAGCAUACUGCCGUGAAUACGUUCCCGGGCCUUGUACACACCGCCCGUCACACCAUGGGAGCCGGUAACACCCGAAGUCAGUAGUCUAACCGCAAGGAGGACGCUGCCGAAGGUGGGAUUGGCGACUGGGGUG